CCUACGGGUGGCAGCAGUGAGGAAUAUUGGUCAAUGGACGCAAGUCUGAACCAGCCAUGCCGCGUGCAGGAAGACGGCUCUAUGAGUGGUAAACUGCUUUUGUAGGAGGGUAAACGCAGAUACGCGUAUCUGUCUGAAAGUACCGUACGAAUAAGGAUCGGCUAACUCCGUGCCAGCAGCCGCGGUAAUACGGAGGGUUCAAGCGUUAUCCGGAUUUAUUGGGUUUAAAGGGUGCGGAGGCGGGCGGCUAAGUUAGAGGUGAAAUCCAGAGGCUCAACUUCGGAAUUGCCUCUGAUACUUUUCGGCUAGAGCGUAGUUGCGGUAGGCGGAAU
rnacentral:rRNA from 1 species